GACCAAAAGCACAGUGAUGCCUUUCUUUUUACUCACAUUUGAUGACAUCCAUAGUGAGAAACAGCAGUUCCACUGUCCAACACCAGGAAAUGUUCUGACUGCUUCACCACUCCAACUAAUACUUACAGAGGUGUGGCCUAUUCCCACUUGUAUUGGGGGCUUUAGAAUCCGACUCCUUACAUUCCUAAGAUUAAAAGACAUCUUGUGCUAUUUUAUGUUCUGAGA
rnacentral:lncRNA from 1 species